CAGUUAUUUCUAUUCAUGGAUGGGGUUUCGACCAGAAUAUGUACCACUCCUACCCACCCAAGACGGAAAAAAGAGGAGGAAAAAAGAAGAGUCGAGUCUCAAAGUCUCAAAGCCCAUUAUUACUGAUUGAUUAUUGAUUGGCGGGAUAUUAAAGGGUUCACCUCCUGUCUAUUAAGGGUUCACUACCACAUCACGCUAACAACAAACAUAUCUUAAACAAAAUAUAAUAAUAACAAUAUUAUCUUUCAUGUUUAUUCUUGCAUGUGUGUGUCUACAGGAUGGUUAUAUCCAAACAACAAAUACGAGCAGCCAGAACAUGCCGUGGACAUUCUGAACUGCAUGUCACAGUUCGAACUGCUUUUAUGGCAGCAGACAGAGCGACUAGUUUCAUGGCUCAGGUGACCUGCGACAGAGAAGUGCAGACGGCUCUUCACAGGUUGUUCCCUCAUCGCUUCAACCAAUCGAACAUCCAUGCGUAUGCAUUUAAUUGCACUUGUAGUAUUGGUUGCAGUAAUUCCUACCCAUGGAUAGGGUGUCAACCGAAAUCUAUUACUUUCGAUCGCCGCUGCGUUGAUUCAGAACAACGCAGUUCGUGGAAAUUGUGGACGACGUAGUCCAAGAGGGGCAGGACGUGGUGCUUUGGCCGCAGGACUUGGUGCCUUGGCCGCAGUACGUGGUGCGUUGGCUGCUUAGCCUGUUGCAUUGGCUGUUUGGCCUGGUGCAUUUGCCGCUGGGCAUGGUGCAUUGGGUGCUGGACGUUAUGACUCCCUCGCAUCACGCUUAUUCAUAUUAGUUCGUUGAAUUUUCUUUUACAGUUUUUUUUAUAAAUUUGAGCAUGCAGCGUCCCCCCAUUUUGAGUUUUUGAAGAUAAAGAGAUUUUUUUUUAGUUUGAUACUGCUUGCUUUGCCCCCUUUUUUGCCCCCUCGUUUGUACCCUGGCGGCUUUUUACCCAAUUUUACUCAAUUAGUAUUUGGCUCAAAUAUCCUUUGAUUUGUAUCCCUGUGAUGCGCACUGUUUUUGGCUUCCAUAAACAAAUUUAAAUGCACACUUACGACUUUUUCACCCAGCACGUAACCUUCCAUGCAUAUGGAGACUGACAAACAGCGUCGUGCGAUGCACGGUGGAUGCACGGCAACUUGAUACAGAAUUGUACGCAUCGGUAUUCCAGCCUCAAUGCAUCGUAACAUUGUUCCCAAUUCUCUGGACGAACUGGUGGGUAAAAAAAUACGAGAUCUUGCUGCUGCAAGCCGUUCUCUGUAUAGUAGCGAACUUCAAACUUUGGAACGAGAAUUAAUUCGUCUUCGAAAAGAAAGAAGUAAUAUAGUAGCUUCAAUCAGGGGUGCUAAUAAGUUGGUUUCUGUUUCGUUAAAUUAUAAUGCUAGUCUAGUUCUUCACUGUGUUUUUAAAUUCAUUUGAAUAGAUGAAAUUGUUGGAUUUAGCCCAGAUACAUGGUGAAAACAAAAAAAAUUGUGGUAAAAACAAAAAAUUGAGGAUUGAAUCGAAAAAGCUGAUCAGUCUUAAAAAAUUUCCAUGAGGCCCAUGUAAAGUAUUUUAACACCGAUAGACAGCGUCGUUCGAUGCAAAUGCAAUUAAUUUCUCAAGAAAAAAAAAUCUGCAGUACUCCAAACCCCUGUCGAACUUCAUGGGGAAUCGCUUUAUUAUGUAAUAUUAAUGUCACUAAAAUUUCGUAGAAAUUGAUAUAUUUUUAUUAUUUAUUAGGGAAAUGCAAGUUUCUUUCUCACACAAUGACUCUAGAAUGAAGUAUAUUAAGUCGGGGAAUGGUAGAGCAAUCGUGUGUGUUCACUAGGCCACUAGAAGAAAGAGGAAGAGAAGGUGCGAUGUUGCCAAAUUUUAAAAUGGGAAAUGAAUGACGUUACCAAGUAAAAACAGACUCCUGUAUGACAUCGAUAACAUCAAAGAGAUGAAAAUG
rnacentral:lncRNA from 1 species